AGUAAAAAGCGUAACAAGGUUUCCGUAGGUGAACCUGCGGAAGGAUCAUUAUUUAAUUGCGAAAGACGGGCUCUAGACACCACAGAGACUGUAGAUGCAUGGGGAGGUGUGGCGGUUGUUAAUUAUCAACGCGAAAGACCAUAAACGCGCGGGUGUGUCACCCCAAGAAGACGCGUCCCUUUGUCCAUGGAAUUGAUUAGCCACGUACAUUCGUCUCCUGGCAUCCAUAGCAGGUGUCCCUGCAACCUGGAAACGUAAGAUACCAGGGGCAGGACGCUGCUUGGUGCCGGCCAAGGCGCUCUAAGGCGAACCACCGGGGUUGGCUACCAUGGCCCCCAUCAAGAGUGCAUCUACUUUCUCCUGGUCUGGGCUCGCCCCUCUCCAUUUAAAUUCCUCUGUGUAUCUUACCUUUGUUGCUUCCCGUCAGGCGUCAGUGUCUCACGGGGAGGAAAGCUCUUAAACUCUGGUUGUAUUGUCGUUUGUCUGAGUGGUCAACACACAAAACAAGUUAAAACUUUCAACAACGGAUCUCUUGGUUCUCGCAUCGAUGAAGAACGCAGCGAAAUGCGAUAAGUAGUGUGAAUUGCAGAAUUCAGUGAAUCAUCGAAUCUUUGAACGCACAUUGCGCCUCCUGGUAUUCCGGGAGGCAUGCCUGUUCGAGCGUCAUCAAACACAUCCUCAAGCAUUAUUUUGCUUGGUCUUGGGAGAAGAUGUCCGCAUCUCCCCUGAAAUUCCUCAGCGGAAAAGCCAUCUCAGUCCUCAGGUGUGAUAAAAUACUGUUCACCUGGUGAUGCUGAGUGGUGCUCCAGCUGUUGAUAGCCCCCCAGCUUUCUCAUGAGUUUGACCUCGGAUC
rnacentral:rRNA from 1 species